rnacentral:lncRNA from 1 species
CUCUUUUAUUGGUCCUCCACAUUUGGUAGGAUCAGAAAUUCAGAUCCAAGGCAUCAGCCAGGAAGUCAAAGGAAUUCAAGUCUAGGAAGUCAGAAUUUUGGAAGAGAUGGGUUCAGACGGUGGAUGUACACUUAUCAAGCCCUGAGUGGAGUAAGAUUCUGGAGAGAUUCAGCAGGAUGGUGGCUGGAAAUGAAAAAACAGCAAUGGAAAUUUUUCCAGAGGAAAAAAAUCUCAACAAACAGUGAAGCAAACAGCCACUGGAAAUUGCUUAUGAAGCUCCUGGAAAUAAUGGAUAUAUGACAUCAUAGUUAUGUUACAACAUCUUCAAUGGCAAGCGGUACAAAGCAAGGAAAUGCUGAAGUUUCAUCUGAAUGAGUUAUUCCACACUAAAUAUUCUUAAUUAGUAUCACAGAAAGCAUGGAAAACAGGUUAAUUAUUUACAGAAAUAAAACAAUAAAAUCACCUCUAACAAGCAUGCAUAUAGUAUAUCAAUGUACAAUUUCUGCUGGAAAAGCAAAUCCUCUCCAAAUUAGGAGUUCAGAAAGACUCUGAGAGAAAAAUAAGACUCUUGAAUAACUAGU